GGGGGAUCCUGGAGCAGGUGUAGGUGGAGAAGGACUUUCUGGCCGGAAAGGAGAGCCUGGCAAUCCGGGAAGCCCUGGACUUCCUGGAAAUCCAGGACCCAGGGGGCCAUUUGGUGAUCCUGGACCUCCUGGACCACCGGGACCUCUUGGGCCACCAGGACCCCCUGGCGAGUUUGUCAAGGGAGCGAAGGGUGAUCGAGGUGAGCGAGGUCCUCCUGGAACAAGUGAUGGAGGAGGGGCCAAAGGAGAGCCAGGC